rnacentral:rRNA from 1 species
AAUAUUCCAAUACCAACAUUAGUGUGCGAUGGAAGGACGCUUAGGGCUAAGGGGGCUAGCGGAUGGAAGUGCUAGUCUAAGGUCGUAGGUGCUUAUACAGGCAAAUCCGUAUAAGAAUACACCGAGAACUGAAAGGCUUUUUGAAGUCUUCGGAUGGAUAGAAGAACCCCUGAUGCCGUCGAGCCAAGAAAAGUUUCUAAGUUUAGCUAAUGUUGCCCGUACCGUAAACCGACACAGGUGGGUGGGAUGAGUAUUCUAAGGCGCGUGGAAGAACUCUCUUUAAGGAACUCUGCAAAAUAGCACCGUAUCUUCGGUAUAAGGUGUGGUUCGCUUCGUAUUAGGAUUUACUCCGAAAGCGAAGAAACUUACAACAAAGAGUCCCUCCCGACUGUUUACCAAAAACACAGCACUCUGCUAACUCGUAAGAGGAUGUAUAGGGUGUGACGCCUGCCCGGUGCUCGAAGGUUAAUUGAUGGGGUUAGCAUUAGCGAAGCUCUUGAUCGAAGCCCGAGUAAACGGCGGCCGUAACUAUAACGGUCCUAAGGUAGCGAAAUUCCUUGUCGGUUAAAUACCGACCUGCAUGAAUGGCGUAACGAGAUGGGAGCUGUCUCAAAGAGGGAUCCAGUGAAAUUGUAGUGGAGGUGAAAAUUCCUCCUACCCGCGGCAAGACGGAAAGACCCCGUGGACCUUUACUACAGCUUGACACUGCUACUUGGAUAAGAAUGUGCAGGAUAGGUGGGAGGCUUUGAGUAUAUGACGCCAGUUGUAUAUGAGCCAUUGUUGAGAUACCACUCUUUCUUAUUUGGGUAGCUAACCAGCUUGAGUUAUCCUCAAGUGGGACAAUGUCUGGUGGGUAGUUUGACUGGGGCGGUCGCCUCCCAAAUAAUAACGGAGGCUUACAAAGGUUGGCUCAGAACGGUUGGAAAUCGUUCGUAGAGUAUAAAGGUAUAAGCCAGCUUAACUGCAAGACAUACAAGUCAAGCAGAGACGAAAGUCGGUCUUAGUGAUCCGGUGGUUCUGUGUGGAAGGGCCAUCGCUCAAAGGAUAAAAGGUACCCCGGGGAUAACAGGCUGAUCUCCCCCAAGAGCUCACAUCGACGGGGAGGUUUGGCACCUCGAUGUCGGCUCAUCGCAUCCUGGGGCUGGAGCAGGUCCCAAGGGUAUGGCUGUUCGCCAUUUAAAGCGGUACGCGAGCUGGGUUCAGAACGUCGUGAGACAGUUCGGUCCCUAUCUGCCGUGGGCGUAAGAAGAUUGAAGAGAUUUGACCCUAGUACGAGAGGACCGGGUUGAACAAACCACUGGUGUAGCUGUUGUUCUGCCAAGAGCAUCGCAGCGUAGCUAAGUUUGGAAAGGAUAAACGCUGAAAGCAUCUAAGCGUGAAGCCAACUCUAAGAUGAAUCUUCUCUAAGCUCUCUAGAAGACUACUAGUUUGAUAGGCUGGGUGUGUAAUGGAUGAAAGUCCUUUAGCUGACCAGUACUAAUAGAGCGUUU